rnacentral:lncRNA from 12 species
AGAAAGUAUAUCCCCCACAAUUCCUUCCUUCACCAAGCUAGGAAAGAAUUCUUCUCAGGGGAAAAAGUGGAAAAAACUUGUUUUAUUGACCAAUUACAAGAAAAAACACUUCCCAGCAACAGACCCAGAUGACAGAAACAGUUUUCACCGAUUGGGAGACGAUCCUCUUGCUGGGAAGGGCAGAGAGCUUCUUGGGCAGGCGUCCAGAGGGAGUUUCUGGGACCCAGAUCCGUCCUUCUGGAGCCGGUGCUGGUCUUCGGGGGGGUCGAGGGGUAGGGAGGGGAAGAAGAGAGAGGAAGAAGGGAGACGAUCCUCUUGCUGGGAAGGGCAGAGAGCUUCUUGGGCAGGCGUCCAGAGGGAGUUUCUGGGACCCAGAUCCGUCCUUCUGGAGCCGGUGCUGGUCUUCGGGGGGGUCGAGGGGUAGGGAGGGGAAGAAGAGAGAGGAAGAAGGGAGCCGGCAGCGAAGCAGCACAGCAGCAAAGCCGGGUUGGGGGGGGCAGCAGCAAAAGCCGGGGCAAGCAGCAGCGAAGCAGCGAGCAGCCAGCGGCAAAAGCAGCAGCAGCAGGGAGGAGGGGCCGGAGCCACCACGGCCGCAGACAGCGGGGGCAGGGAGAGGAGCUAGACAUAACAUCAACCCAGGACAGUCUUUCACUCAGGUAACCAACUCAAAGCAAGCUGGCACUACUGUACUGCUAGUACCUGACCUGG